CGCUAGCUCUUUCCAAAGGGAGUGGUGAUAAACAAGUGAGCAACUCAUUUGUUUUCCCAGAGAAACAACUUGUAAUUGCAGUGAUGAUGUGUUAAUUCUGUAUUAAGUGACUUAUUGAUCAAGCACCUUAAAAGGCUGCAGUUUUUCUCUCCUGCAUUUCACUGCAGAUGGGAGUGGGGAGCAAAUGUGAAAGACAAAUGAGAUUGAAGCGCUGGGGACAUCCAGCAGAAUAGCAACUCCUUGUCAGUGGAGAACAACUCAUCAGUGUCUGCUGCCUACAGGUCCUUGGGAGGAGUCUAACAUGAUGGAAUAUACAGGAUUUGCUUUCAAUCCUGGCUCAAUCAUUUGGGACGUGCGUCGGAGAGUCUGGACUUCACGUGCUGCUCUUCCAAAACAAGGACAGGAUAUCAACCCAGAAAAAUGAGCCCUUCAGACCUGCG
rnacentral:lncRNA from 1 species